GCAUAAGCUAUAGGUUUAAGUCUGUUUAGUUCUUGGAUGGGUGACCACCUGAGAAAGCCAAAUGCUCUAUAUGCU
rnacentral:rRNA from 1 species